UUUUAUUUAUCACAUUUUAUUCGCCAAAAGAUGUUUAUGCGAAUUGUUUUAUUGUCCAUAGCUUUGACGAUUGUUCGAGGUUUGUCGUUUUUCACGACCGGUCCGGCGCUAUUUUCGUGCAUGCAACAAAACUCAAUUGGAAUGACGGAAAUUGGAACAUUAUCGAACGGAGAUGUGCCACCCACAAAACUGUUGUGUUUCCUGAAAUGUUUCGGAGAAGCGACCGGAUUUAUUGUAAACGGCAAAGUUUUGAGCAACGAACUUUCAAAUUUACCUUUUAUUCCUACAGUUGCCGGAGAUGUUACUUUGAGAGUGCAAAAAUGUUUAGAAUCUGUGGGAAACAUUGAAAACUGUGACGAUAUGGGGGUUGUUGCUAAUUGUUUAAGCGAAUUUUUUAAACAAUAAUUUUAUUGUAUUAUUUUUAUUAAUUAAAUUAAUAAUUAAUAAAGCAUAUGGCAAGGUUUA